AUUGAACGCUGGCGGCAUGCCUUACACAUGCCAGUCGAACGGCAGCACGGGUGCUUGCACCUGGUGGCGAGUGGCGAACGGGUGAGUAAUACAUCGGAACACGUCCUGUAGUGGGGGAUAGCCCGGCGAAAGCCGGAUUAAUACCGCAUACGAUCUACGGAUGAAAGCGGGGGACCUUCGGGCCUCGCGCUAUAGGGUUGGUCGAUGGCUGAUUAGCUAGUUGGUGGGGUAAAGGCCUACCAAGGCGACGAUCAGUAGCUGGUCUGAGAGGACGACCAGCCACACUGGGACUGAGACACGGCCCAGACUCCUACGGGAGGCAGCAGUGGGGAAUUUUGGACAAUGGGCGAAAGCCUGAUCCAGCAAUGCCGCGUGUGUGAAGAAGGCCUUCGGAUUGUAAAGCACUUUUGUCCGGGAGGAAAUCCUUGGCCCUAAUACGGUCGGGGGAUGACGGUACCGGAAGAAUAAGCACCGGCUAACUACGUG
rnacentral:rRNA from 1 species